rnacentral:rRNA from 1 species
GACGAACGCUGGCGGCGUGCUUAACACAUGCAAGUCGAACGGAAAGGCCCUGCUUUUGUGGGGUGCUCGAGUGGCGAACGGGUGAGUAACACGUGAGUAACCUGCCCUUGACUUUGGGAUAACUUCAGGAAACUGGGGCUAAUACCGGAUAGGAGCUCCUGCUGCAUGGUGGGGGUUGGAAAGUUUCGGCGGUUGGGGAUGGACUCGCGGCUUAUCAGCUUGUUGGUGGGGUAGUGGCUUACCAAGGCUUUGACGGGUAGCCGGCCUGAGAGGGUGAACGGCCAAAUUGGGACUUGGAUACGGCCCAGACUCCUACGGGAGGCAACAGUGGGGAAUAUUGCACAAUGGGCGGAAGCCUGAUGCAGCAACGCCGCGUGCGGGAUGACGGCCUUCGGGUUGUAAACCGCUUUCGCCUGUGACGAAGCGUGAGUGACGGUAAUGGGCAAAGAAGCACCGGCUAACUACGUG